rnacentral:rRNA from 1 species
CCUCGGGAGGCAGCAGUGGGGAAUCUUGCACAAUGGAGGAAACUCUGAUGCAGCGAUGCCGCGUGAGUGAAGAAGGCCUUUGGGUUGUAAAGCUCUUUUGUAGGGGAAGAUAAUGACUGUACCCUAAGAAUAAGGUCCGGCUAACUUCGUGCCAGCAGCCGCGGUAAUACGAAGGGACCUAGCGUAGUUCGGAAUUACUGGGCGUAAAGCGCGCGUAGGCCGUUGAGUUAGUUAAUUGUGAAAUCCCAAAGCUUAACUUUGGAACUGCAAUUAAACUGCUCGACUAGAGUUUGAUAGAGGAAAGCGGAAUACAUAGUGUAGAGGUGAAAUUCGUAGAUAUUAUGUAGAACACCAGUUGCGAAGGCGGCUUUCUGGAUCAACACUGACGCUGAGGCGCGAAAGUAUGGGUAGCAAAGAGGAUUAGAUACCCUCGUAGUCCAUACCAUAAACGAUGAUNUCUANAUGUGUAAUUAUUUAUAGUAUCNCANCUACACAUAG